AACGAACGCUGGCGGCGUGCCUAACACAUGCAAGUCGGACGAGAAAGUUUCCUUCGGGAAGCGAGUAAAGUGGCGCACGGGUGAGUAACACGUAGACAACCUGCCUUCCAGUCCGGGACAACCUUUCGAAAGAAGGGCUAAUACCGGAUAACACUUUGGGCCGCAUGGCCUGGGGUUGAAAGAUUUAUCGCUGGAAGAGGGGUCUGCGGGACAUUAGCUAGUU
rnacentral:rRNA from 1 species